rnacentral:rRNA from 1 species
ACUCAAAGGAAUUGACGGGGGCCCGCACAAGCGGUGGAGCAUGUGGCUCAAUUCGAUGCAACGCGAAGAACCUUACCAGGCCUUGACAUGCAUUGGAUCGGCGCUGAAAGGUGCCUUUCCUUCGGGACCGAUGCACAGGUGCUGCAUGGCUGUCGUCAGCUCGUGUCGUGAGAUGUUGCGUUAAGUCGCGCAACGAGCGCAACCCCUGUUCUUAGUUGCCAUCAGGUAAAGCUGGGCACUCUAGGGAGACAAACCCUCUUUGAGGGUGGGAAGGUGGGGAUGACGUCAAGUCAGGAUGGCCCUUACGGCCUGGGCUGCACACGUGCUACAAUGCUCGGUACAGAGGGACGCAAGACCGCGAGGUGGAGCAAAUCCCAAAAACCGAGCCCAGUUCAGAUUGCAGUCUGCAACUCGACUGCAUGAAGCCGGAAUCGCUAGUAAUGGCGUAUCAGCUACGACGCCGUGAAUACGUUCCCGGGCCUUGUACACACCGCCCGU